rnacentral:rRNA from 1 species
AUUGAACGCUGGCGGCAUGCUUUACACAUGCAAGUCGGACGAGUGGCGGACGGGUGAGUAACAUAUCGGAACGUACCCGGUAGUGGGGGAUAACUACUCGAAAGAUUAGCUAAUACCGCAUAUUAUUCGAGCGGCCGAUAUCUGAUUAGCUGGUUGGUGGGGUAAAGGCCUACCAAGGCGACGAUCAGUAGCUGGUCUGAGAGGAUGAUCCGCCACACUGGGACUGAGACACGGUCCAGAAUCCUACGGGAGGCAGCAGUGGGGAAUUUUGAACAAUGGGCACAAGCCUGAUCCAGCCAUGCCGCGUGUAUGAAGAAGGCCUUCGGGUUGUAAAGGACUUUUGUCAGGGAAGCGGUACCUGAAGAAGAAGCACCGGCUAACUACGUGCCAGCCGCCGCGGUAAUUC